AAAGCCGAACAGGAUCGCGGGCGGGAGCAUGGAUCGAGGGCUGCGGGAGCUCGCCGGGCCGUCAGGCGGCAGGGGGGAACGGGUGGAGUAUAUUUAUUGGUGACAUCGAGUGACAGCUAUUUAAUAAUAUACUUUCCUUGGUUCCACCAGGUUCUCUGUGGAGUUUCCAUGUAAAAAUCUGUCCUUCCAUCGUUACCAUCAUAAAACCACGACAGACCCGCUCAGCAGGUGCCAAGAAGCUGAGCAGUGACAUGGUGGCAGGAAAAGACCAAACACGUCGGCUGUGACAGCUGCACAUGAAGCUUCGGGAGGACGGAUUGCUACUGGGGCCGGCGGCAGCUGUGUGCUGCUCUGAGGUGAGGUGGGCUGAGCCAGCGUGGUGCAGCCAAUAAUGCUGGAGAGCCCAGAAGUGCCACUUAGAGAUGUGUGAGGAAAUGCUAUGGGAAAAGCAGGUAUUUGCCAGCGAAUCUGUUACAGACCUUGUCCAGAAAUACGUGGGCUCUGGAAACCUGGGAAAGCGGCUGUUUUGUGGAGCCAGGUGGAGAAAAUUGAAACAACUUCCUUUGUUAGACAGGAAAAGUAUUCUCAUUAUUUCUGUAAGAAUGCUAACUGUAUUAUCUCUAAUUUCCUGCCUGGAAAGCACUGUGUGUUGUAUUCCAAAAUG
rnacentral:lncRNA from 7 species